CCCUUAGAUGUUCUGGGUCGCACGCGUGCUACACUGAGUGGAUCAGCGGGUCAGGUUGCGCGAAAGUGUUUCCUAAUCUUGAAAUCCGCUCGUGAUGGGGAUUGACGGUUGCAAUUUUCCGUCAUGAACGAGGAAUACCUUGUAAGCGCGGGUCAUCAUCCCGCGCUGAAUACGUCCCUGCCCUUUGUACACACCGCCCGUCGCUCCUACCGAUUGAGUGGUCCGGUGAGGCUUUGGGAUCUGAGCGGAAAGAGCGUUUCGCUGUUUCUGCUCGGAAAACUCAGUCGAACCUUAUCAUUUAGAGGAAGGAGAAGUCGUAACA
rnacentral:rRNA from 1 species